rnacentral:lncRNA from 1 species
UAACAGUUACUACCUGACGUCACACACAACCCCCUCCCCCAUGCUGACUGCGGAGCUCGCAAAUCUGCCAGGAUGGGAAGGGCACGAUUCCAGCCAUCCUUGUAUCCCAAGGAAGACGAACUUGGGGGCAGGCGCUCUGCACACUGCAGCAGGUCUGUCCUCUCUACAAUAAGAUAAUAGCAACUCGUCUGACCUACAACAUUGAAGCCCUCAGCUCGCUCCCUGAAGGGAGCCUGUGCAGGUUUGGCGCCAAAUUAAUCUCUUCUGACCUGUGAAUUCUAGACAACCCUGCUCCAGCUGCAGAGCUGUACUGGUACCGCUUGUGGCUGUAGGAGUUGGGCAGAUGUGGGAAGCUGCACGCUGAAGGAAGUCACCUGUCACUCUGCCAUCCUGUGGGAGAGGUUCUGCUUGCUGGAUUCAUCACUCAUGGAACUCCGUCGUCCUUUUAACUUUGUGAGGAGAAACGUCACAACAAUAACACCCAAUCCCCAGAUAUCGCUGCCUUGAUCAGGGCACCAGACAUGCAAUGGUGUCGAUCCGCGUGAGCUCCAGGCUGGAAGUGGGCUCUAUUUGAGAAGCCAUAGUCCGCCCGCUUUUUGCGAUGCUUCUGUGUACUUCUUCCCUCUCGUGAGAGCCAAACUCCUUCCUUCAGGGUUGGGACUCAGUGCUCAAGAUCUGUAAUUGCACACCCCAGCACUCAGGUUCACUUUAAUUUCUUAUUCUUUUUAAAGAGUGAAGGUGUCUUGGGCAGUGGUGGCGCACGCCUUUAAUCCCAGCACCCGGGAGGCAGAGGCAGGAGGCUUUCUGAGUUCGAGGACAACCUGAUCUAUAGAGUGAGUUCCAGGACAGCCAGGGCUAUAAGGAGAAAACCUGUCUCGAAAAACAACAACAACAAAGAGCGAAGGUGCUAUGGGGCUACACAUACAAAAUAAACCUUGGGCUGGUUUUACCACUGUAGGUCCCAAGAGAAAUGCUUGCAAUAGCUCCUGAGGACAGGCCUGAAGCACCACCUGUUUGUAGUUCAUGUGUUGUCACUCAUCUGGUAGCUCACCUUACUGGUAUGAGGUCACAUCCACACCUGCAGCCUCUCCACCUUGCCUGGAUCUUCCUUCAGCUUUCUCAACUCCCACAUGAGGUGUGAAGAUAUGGAACUCGACAAUGAAGCUGCCUUCUACCUUCUGUAGGCCAUCCAUGUCAUCAAGAUCAGAAGCAAUUGGGACUGAUGAGUUUCAGUAGAUGCAUUUGAAAUGGUCAAACUCUUGGUGAAUCUUUGCAGUCAGUUUAAAUAGAGGAUCUUCCUGAAGGUGGUCUUGACAACUUAUGUAAACAAUUUCGGUCUUAUCAAGUGACCCAGGGUGAAACUGAAGCAGAGGCAAGGACUAGCUGGUUGGUUUUUAAUCGAGUGGAACUGGUUGAGACUCAAUAUGUUGUCUUCAUGCUUGGCAAGAUGGCACUUAAAUAAUCCUGACUCUCAAAAGUCUGAGGCAGGAAAGUUGAAAGUUCAAGGUCAACCUGGUCUACAGAGUAAGUUCCACUAAUGCUGCAACCCUUUAAUACAGUGCCUUUUGUUGUGAUGAUCCCCAACCAUAAAAUUAUUUAACUGCUACUUCAUAACGGCAACUUUGCUACUAAUUAUGGGCCAUAACGCACUGAGAUCCAUCUGCUUCUGGCUCCUGAGUGUCGAGAUUAAAACCAUGUGCCACUGUGCACGGCUGCACACACAACUUUUAAAAUUACUUUUCUGAGGAAUUAAAUCCCAACAAAGAAACACCAGUCUUGGUUUGACAUGGAGGUCACAGUACAGCAGAUUUUUGUCAGUGGCUUUUCCCACCUGGCAUUCUUCGCACUAUCAACUUUUCAAGCGGACUUCAGACCUCACACACAUUUCCUGAAGUUGGUGCCCCUUUCCUUAGCGACAGCAAGUGAUGACCUCUUCGGAGCCAGAGAAAUAAGCAGCCAGAAGUCUGACAACUGAACACGUGUGCAAGUUCAUUUGUGUUCCCUGAAUCAUCUGCACUCCAGACACAACUGAAUUUAGGAGCAUCUAGUUUCUAAAGAAAGCUAACACACCUGCUCCAUGCUGCAAAAAUCACAUGAGUUUGGAAUGAGCCUAGUACAUAUUACAGUUAGAAAUGCUAAAUUUGGGGGGCUGAGGAAUGUUUUGGGGGUUAAAGUCACUUCUUUUCUUCCAGAGUAUCAGGGUUUGAUUCCCAGCACCAACAUGGUAGCACACAGCAGCCUAAGACUCCAGUUCUAACACCUCCCGGGGCUCCUUCAGGGAGGGGUACUGAUAUAUAAAACAGGGGAUACAUGCACACAUAAAAGAAAAUAAAGUAUUUACAAUGUUUAAUUUGUAAUACCAAUUGUGCCCUUAUGUAUAUUUUCCUAAGCAUAUAGUAUUUUAAAUUUUUGCAUUAGAAAAAUGUUAUUGUUUAGAAUGACGAUGUAGACCUGUACAUUUUUGCGGUAUUAAAAAAAAUGUGUUUUCAGACGUUUCUCUUUCAGUCUUGAUUCCCAUAUUCUUCCAAAAAGG